UACGGAGGGUGCAAGCGUUAUCCGGAUUCACUGGGUUUAAAGGGUGCGUAGGUGGGCUGGUAAGUCAGUGGUGAAAUCUCCAGGCUUAACUUGGAAACUGCCAUUGAUACUAUCAGUCUUGAAUACCGUGGAGGUCAGCGGAAUAUGUCAUGUAGCGGUGAAAUGCUUAGAUAUGACAUAGAACACCAAUUGCGAAGGCAGCUUACUACAGGAAUAUUGACACUGAUGCACGAAAGCGUGGGGAUCAAACAGG
rnacentral:rRNA from 1 species